rnacentral:tRNA from 2 species
GCCGGGGUGGCCUAGUUGGUUAGGGCGCCAGACUCAUAAUCUGGAAGUCGCGGGUCCGAAUCCCGCUCCCGGCA